rnacentral:rRNA from 1 species
ACUCCUACGGGAGGCAGCAGUGGGGAAUAUUGCACAAUGGGGAAACCCUGAUGCAGCCAUGCCGCGUGUGUGAAGAAGGCCUCGGUUGUAAGCACUUCAGUAGGAGGAAGGUAGUGUAGUUAACACCUGCACUAUUUGACGUUACCUACAGAAGAAGCACCGGCUAACUCCGUGCCAGCAGCCGCGGUAAUACGGAGGGUGCGAGCGUUAAUCGGAAUUACUGGCGUAAAGCGCAUGCAGGCGGCCUGUUAAGUCAGAUGUGAAAGCCCGGGGCUUAACCUCGGAAUUGCAUUUGAAACUGGCAGGCUAGAGUCUUGUAGAGGGGGUAGAAUUUCAGGUGUAGCGUGAAAUGCGUAGAGAUCUGAAGGAAUACCAGUGGCGAAGGCGGCCCCCUGGACAAAGACUGACGCUCAGAUGCGAAAGCGUGGGGAGCAAACAGGAUUAGAUACCCUGGUAGCACAGA